UCCGCGAUCGGCCCCCUCGCGUCGACCCUGGCGCGCUGAAGCGUCCGGCACAAGGGGGCCCGUGAGCCGCGUACUCCACCGCGCUGCCUAGCAACGCGAGUGGAGGAAACGGCCACGUUACAAAACGAAAUUGCUCCAUGUUGAAAAGAUUUCGGCGAUACAGUAAUAGUGUAAGAAACGAGAAAAACAGUAAGACUGCAAGUGUAAAUUAUGUCUGCUGUCACACACGAUCCCACACGACAUAAUCUUGGGACAAGAGUUUUUGGAAGGUGCCGAGAUGCAAGUGAACGAAGGUAACAUAGUCGCAAUCCAUAGGGCCCCGAGAACCGCAGAGGAGACACCGCUCACGAUUUCCAGAGAGGAAAGAUAGGCAGACGGAAGCGGAGAACACCCAGGAAACGGUGGACGCAGCGUUUGAAGAAUUAAAAAACAAUUGAUUGACGGAAGAAUUAUUAUUUGUUGCACAACAUGGAAUAAUGAUCCACAAGAAGUACGACAAAAACCAUCAACAACGAAAAUGGAUGAAAAUAAGCUUGUCUCUCAUUGAAAUAAUGCUUUAACAUCGGCGGCGAUUAUGUUGAAAAGUAGCUAACAGUUCGUGCUUUUAUUUACAAGGGACAUCACAAAGCUACAGAGGAAUGCCAGGACUGAAGACCAGCUACCACCCAAAGGGGGGCCCAUGAACCUGGUCACCAGGAAGAGCGCGGUGGCCCAUUCCUGCGACAAGCUGCGACAAAAAAAGCAGGAUGCAGAGAUUACGAGGCAGAAUUCCUAACUUCGAAGCCAUUUCUUCAGUUGAAGGAACGUCUUACGUUCCGGCA
rnacentral:lncRNA from 1 species